CCUACGGGAGGCAGCAGUGAGGAAUAUUGGUCAAUGGACGAGAGUCUGAACCAGCCAAGUAGCGUGAAGGAUGACUGCCCUAUGGGUUGUAAACUUCUUUUAUAUGGGAAUAAAACGUUCCACGUGUGGGAUUUUGUAUGUACCAUAUGAAUAAGGAUCGGCUAACUCCGUGCCAGCAGCCGCGGUAAUACGGAGGAUCCGAUCGUUAUCCGGAUUUAUUGGGUUUAAAGGGAGCGUAGGUGGAUUGUUAAGUCAGUUGUGAAAGUUUGCGGCUCAACCGUAAAAUUGCAGUUGAGACUGGCAGUCUUGAGUACAGUAGAGGUGGGCGGAAUUCGUGGUGUAGCGGUGAAAUGCUUAGAUAUCACGAAGAACUCCGAUUGCGAAGGCAGUUCACUGGACUGCAACUGACACUGAGGCUCGAAAGUGUGGGUAUCAAACAGGAUUAGAUACCCCUGUAGUC
rnacentral:rRNA from 1 species